CUAAAUUUAGCAUUUCUGAUCGCUUUAUCCGUAAACAUUGACUGAAGAUAAGCCUCAGGAUCCGUCACCUUGGAGCCUAUAAAAAAGCACCAUUUCUACCCUAAUCUUCAGAAAACUUUUUGUUUGGAGGAACUAGAAAAAAACCAAAAACAAAAAUUCAAAAAACAGAAAACAAAAAGAAAACAGAAAAACAUGGGAAAGAAGACCGCGUUUGUGUUGAUUUUUGCAUUGGUGGUGCUUCUGUCAAUCCAUACGGUGUUGGGUGAUGACAACUUCGUGGGAAAUGCCAAGGAUCGUAUCACCGAUGCUGCUUCAGCGGCAAAGGGCGCAGCAGAAGGCUUAUCAGAAUCUACUUCAGAUGCCUUCAAGGAAGCUAGGGAGACCACAUCAACAUGGACUGAUUGGUUUAACGGCAAACUCAAGGAUAUGGGCAUCAAGGAUGAUGAUUCAGACGACACAGAUCACGCAAAGGCACCCGAAUCAGAAUAAUCUACAAAUAUUGUUCGACCUGUGAUUACUACUUCUUUUUUUCUUUUUCUUUUUUUAAUUUGGACCAAUAUAAACCUCGUUUAACGUUGUUUGACACGGGGUGAAAUAUUAAAUUUAAAUGGGCCUCACAUGAGAUGGGUUGAGGCUAGAGAAAGUAGAUUCCAUGUAUUAUUCUUCUCUGUAAAAUAAAGAUUGAAUCAUUUUGAAAUUAAAGAAUGCAUAUAUGCAAUUCACGAAUCACGAGGUUCUAAAAAUUUGUUGUCCAAUAAUUCAAGUUUUUUCUCUCCGCAAUUCGUAUUAAUGCAUCGAAAAUUAAAUUCUAGACAAUGACAAUUGCUGAAUCCCCGAAAAACGUGGCGCGAAGGGCCCAAAGAUUAACGCUGCCACAAAAUUUUGCCUUUUGGGCUCAGGCCUACCAGCUCUCAGUGGGCCAUGGAUUUGGUAGCAACGAGACUACCUUCUUCUUUGUCAAACUCAACGCUUUUGAUCACACCGUUGAAGGUAACCAAACAAGCGUUAGUCGUCGUGUUGAGAUUGAGAGAGACACCAAGUGCAUUGCCUAACUCUCCACGUCCGUCGGAUAACAUCAUGACCCUAUCCCCAACGGCCAGAUUCUCACCCCACGCCCUCAUCACAAACACGUCGCUGGCCGCGACGCAGGCGAUCAAGUCCGAGCUCUUACCUCUCGCCGAUUCAACCCGUUUCAUGAACCGAGUGCAAUGCGGAGAGAACGGCGCCGAAACACCCACCAAAACGACUCUCUUGCCUUUGCAGAGGGUUGAGAGAGAGAUGAGCUUGGCCCCGUCGUUUGGGUCGAGGUAAGAGAGGGUUAUGUUUGGGAGCUUAUCGCCUAUGCAAACUGAGAAGGGUCUGCUUGGUUUUGGGGUGAUCAUCAGGGGGCGGGGAUGGACGGUGGAGAUGGAGCCAUUCGGGGGUGGGCCCGGUGGGCCAUAGAGGUUGAGAAGGGAGGAUCUUUGGGACCUAGGGAGGGUUUUGUGUAGGUUCCAAGGGGUUGAGAUGGAUUUGUGGGAUAGUGAAAGAGAGAGCUUUGUUUGGUGAGGAUUUGAAGAAGAAGACGAUGAACUUGGAGAGGAUGUUUUUGGUACUGUUGCAAAUGUAGCUGCAAUGUUGUUAACAGAGGCAGCCAUGAAAAGAGACACAAAAAUUGAGCGGCUGCGAUGGUAGUGGCGGAUAGAUAAUGGGUUCACAAGGCGAAAAUGGGAUUUGUUGGGUUUAACUUAAGGAUGGUUUGGUUGAAAAAGGAAAAAUCUAGAAAAUAACAUCACCUUCUUUCC